ACUGAAUUGGACUUCAUACGAUGGGCAACAGCACAAGUCACAGUGGUUUGAUACUUCCACCCCAUGGAGCACCUCCGGGAUCGAUCGGCAGAAGUCCACUACCCUUAAGACCUGAAAAUUUCCAGAGGAGAAAGACCAUAAUAAAGUGUAUAAUCGGUUUGAUGAUUUUACUGUGGAUUGUGGUCAUCGGAGUUAAUGUCAGACUGCGGUUGUAACGCUGUUUUCAACAACAUCGAUAAUUGCAUCAAUAAACGAAAUCUCCGCCUUUCAGUGCACGUCGUUAACAAAUGAAUCGAAGAUUGGAUUUAAAGGCUAACUACAAGAAUCUUGGGUUUUGUGUCAUAUCCUGUUACAAGUGUAAGCUAUUCCGUACGUAUAUUCUGUGUAUAUAACAUUUAUAAUCGUAAAAUUCUAUUUAUGGAUAUAUACAUACAACCAUAUCUCUCUCAACUUGAGGGGAUAAUUUUUUUCGCGCGAUAUGCGAUAUACAGAAACGAACAAAUAGUGACCCAGAGUGGUCGAUGGGAAUGUAACUUUUUCCUCUUGAUUGGUAUAUCGACAAACGUACAUGGUAUAUAACGUUUCAGAUAUAAGAGAAACGCGCAAAAAGUACCGGUAAGGUAAUUAUUAUAGAGACCUGUUCGUUAAUGAUUUAAUUAAUCCAAAUACGAUGAUUUUGCUGCUUUGUAUGAUCAUAAAUACAGUAACCUGUUAUACUGCAAAAUGAUUUUAAUUAAUUCUAUACGAUACAGCUCGGAUAGGUAGUAACCGGAAUGUAACGCUUAUAGUUGUUAAAGGUCUAAAAUAUCCGUAAAAUUUUUUGUAAUAAAUACAUAGAUGAGCA
rnacentral:misc_RNA from 1 species